CUAGUCUUCUGAAAACAUCCCUGUUGGAACUGUAAACUAACAAUAUGUCACUGGUUUGUUAUAUGUUUUCCAGACUGUAUGGCCAUGUUCCAGAAGUAUUCUCUCCUGAUGUUUCGCCCACAUCUAUGGCAGGCAUCCUCAGAGGUUGUGACGUAUGGAGAAACUAAGCAGGAAAGUGUAUAUAUCUGUGGAAAGUCCAGGCAGGACCAAAGACUGGAGACCUCGGUACACUCCUUCUAUACCUCGGAUGUCAUCCUCUUCCACCAAGUGUGCAGCUUCGGGAGGGACGCACAUGGGGCGGUGAAGAAGGAAGGGGACACCCGCCUGGCCAGCCAGAUCAGCCAAAUCAACCCUGGCAAUUAAUGGGGUGACAGAUGUCGCAGCCAGAUCACCCACACAUCCAACAAGAGAAAUAGACUAAUUAGCUCCUUCGAAGAAGGGGGAAAGUGAUGCCUGCAGGUAAGAAGGAAACAAAAGGUUGCUGGUUGAUUUACAUGCAAGUCAGGGCAAUAGUGGAAUACUGGCAGCUCCCCUCAGCAUGGUGACUUGCUGGCUUCCCAGGAGCCUUCACAGCUUGGUGUGACCCUGGUGGAAGUGGGAACCGCAAGCCAAUGAAUUUAAAUGCACUCUGCUAGUAGACUGCAGCUAUUUUGCUCAGGAUGGCCCAACAUAGUGUGGGGUGGACUAGAUCUUGCCCGGCAUUAGGGAAAAUGUCUUGAUUUUAGAUAUUAUAUUGUUCUGUUUUAUUAUACCACAGUAAUUAUUAUAUAUUCUAUUUAUAAUCUUCUAUUAUUUGCUUAGAACUGGAUUAUAUGAGGCCCCUUCUACACAGUUGUAUAAAAACCACACUGAACUGGGUUAUAUGGCAGUGUGGACUCAAGAUAAUCCAGUUCAAAGCAGAUACUGUGGAUUAUGUGCUUUGGCAUUCUGGGUUAUAUAGCUGUGUGGGAGGGACUUGAGCCUACAUUGCCAUAUAAUCCAGUUCAAAUCAGACAAUCUGUAUUUUAUAGGCAAUGUGGAUGAGGCCUAAGUGCACUAUGCCUGUGCCCUGGGUGCCAUUUUGGCUGAGGGAAUUACUAGGAUAUGAAGUGGGUGGGGCCUAAAGGGGCGGAGCCUACCUUUCUGAGCCAUUUCUAAAGGGGGAAAACAGCUCUUUCUUGUUCUCUAAUUGGGCUUUAUUUUUCUAGGUUUUUUUUUUGUUUGAAAAACAUAGACUGGAUGACUAUGUCUUUUGUGUCCAAAUUGGGUGUGAUUUGGUUCAGUGGUUUUGUUGUUUACUCCAUAGUAAAAUGGCACAUUACAUUUAUAUACAGAUAGACUAGCUGUGCCCGGCCACGCGUUGCUGUGGCAAAAUAUGGUGGUAUGGGAAAUAAAGUAUUGAGGAAUUGGUGGUAGUUAAGGUAAAGGGUAAAGGUUUUCCCGUGACAUUAAGUCCAGCCAUGUUUGACUCUGGAGGUUGGUGCUCAUCUCCAUUUCUAAGCCUAAGAGCUGGCAUUGUCCGUAGACUGCUCCAAGGUCAUGGAGCGCUGUUACCUUCCAGCUGGAGCAGUACCUAUUCAUCUACUCUCAUUUGCAUGUUUUUGAACUUUAGGGUUGGUAGAAGCUGGGGCUAACAGUGGGGGCUCUCUCCGCUCCUCCAAUUCAAACCUGCAACCUAUAAUAAUAAUAAUAAUAAUAAUAAUAAUAAUAAUAAUAAUAAUAAUAAUAAUAAACUUUAUUUAUACCCCGCCACCAUCUCCUCAACGGGGACUUGGGGCGGCUUACAUGGGGCCAUGCCCAGAACAAUACAAUAUAACAAAAUAUAAUAGAACAACAAAUCAUAGCACAUUAAACAACACAAUAAAAGAAAAUAUACUACAUUAAACAAGAUCAAAAGAACAAUAAAACCAAGGGUGGGCCACAUGAACACCUUUCAGUCCAGAAGUUCAGCAGCUCAGCGCUUUAAUACGCUGCGCCAUCAGGGGAGAUUUCCUAAAGUUUGUGAAUAUACAAUAUUUCUGAUUUUUUUUGUCUGUUGGAGGCAAGUAUGAAUGCUGCAAUUAGACAAAAUGAUUACCAUGUAAUGGUCUUGCAGCUUUAAAGCCUGGCUGCUUUCUCCCUGAGUGAAUUUUUUGUUGGAAGGUGUUAGCUGGCCCUGAUUGUUUCCUGUCUAGAAUUCCCUUGUUUUCAUAGUGGUGUUCUUUGCGAUAUUUUAUGUGGUUCUACUGUCUGUGGCCCUCAGAAAACAGAGGAUUUGCCAGACUUUGGUGAUGGGAAUACUUUAUUGAGAGGUGUUAGCUGGCCCUGAUUGUUUCCUGUGUGAAAUUCCCCUGUUUUCAGAGUGUUGUUAUUUAUUUAAUGUUCUGAUUUUAGAGAUUGUAUUGUUCUGUUUUAUUAUACCACAUUAAUUUUUAUAUAUUCUGAUUUUAGUGUUUUUGAAUACUUGGAGCCAGAUUGUAUUCAUUUUCAUGGUUCACAGCAACACAACAACAACAACAACAACAACAACAAUAGUAAUGAUAGUAAUGAUAGUAAUAAUAAUGACUUUGGUAAUACACACUGCUUCACUCCCUUCUCAGCUUCCUUUCUGGAAGAAUCCUUUCUUGGGAGGUGUUAGCUGGCCCUGAUUGUUUCCUUUGUGGAAUUCCCAAUUUCCCUGCUUUCAGAGUGUUGCUCUUUAUUUCCUGUCCUGGUUUUAGAGAUUAUAUUGUUCUGUAUUAUUCUACCAUAGUAAUUAUUUCAUAUUACAGUAGAAUCUCACUUAUCCAAUGUUCUGGAUUAUCCAACGCAGUCUGCCUUUUAGUAGUCAAUGUUUUUGUAGUCAGUGUUUUAAAUUCAUUGUGAUAUUUUGGUGGUAAAUUUGUAAAUACAGUAAUUACUACAUAGCAUUACUGCACAUGGAACUACUUUUUCUGUCAAAUUUGUUGUAUAACAUGAUGUGUUGGUGUUUAAUUUGUAUAAUGAUUACCUAAUUUGAUGUUUAAUCAGUUUUUAAUGAAUCACUUCUGUAAUGAAGUAUGAAUUUUGGUUUACAGUUGUUAUGUUUAAUUAUAGGUAUAUGUUUGGAAUGGGUAAGUAUUAGAGUUAUCCGUGCGUGGGGGAUGGUAGCCAGCUCAGUAUUCUGAGGCAGGUUGCCAUAGAAACGUAGCUGCUUCUGUAGAAAUGUAACUAUUCUGAAGCUAGCAAGAAAGGGGCGGAGCUAGCUGGAUGAAAAAGGAAGGAAUGUUUUUAAAAGAGUUCAGUCUGUGAUCUGAGAGUCACAGGGAAUAGACUGGUUUCAGGUUUAGGGAAACCAGGGAAGUUCAAAAGUCAGUCUGUGCUCUGAUGAGGCACAGGGAAGAUGUAUUCUAGGUUGAUGGGAUCAAGGAGACUCAAUUGUUCAUUUUGAGUCGGUUUUAAAUAAGUUUGGUGACUUAUUUAAUGUAGUCUGUGUCCUGGAAAGGCACAGAGAAUCUGUGAUAGUAUAUCACAGGGGUGACUGUGGUUUGAAGUCACUGGAUAGUCCAUGUUUCAGACUUUGGGAACCAAUCCCAGAGAUCCAUUGAAGUAACAGUUACAAAGGAGCAGAGGAAUAGGUUUUAACUACUUUAAGUAAAAGAGUUUGAUUCAUCUCAUUCUAGUAUUGUAACUGUUAAUAAGAAUACCUCUAAGUGAAACAUCUUUUGUAACCACCAAAUCUGUGCCUGAAUAAACUUGUUAUUGUUCUUUCAACAUCCAAGCCUCUGUCGCAUAUAUUCUAAACCAAGUUACGCUACCAUCUAAAGUGAAUAAGAAGAAAGAAAGAAAAAAAAGUAAAAGGUCUCCUCCCUGAGUCUUUGGUGGUUGCAUCCUUACAAUUUGAUGGCAGUCGUUACAAAUCUUUACAAAUUGCUGGCAGCGGUGGGAUAAAAAGAUUCCCCCUGCCUGAAGGAGCCUUAGACAUUCGUAGUCCCUUACAAAUUAGUGGCAGUGGUGGGAUAAAAAGAUUCCCCUUGCCUGAAAGAACCUUAGUCGUUAUUAGCUCCUUACACCUUCUUAUUAUCCAACAUAUUUACUUAUCCAACAUUCUGCCGGCCUAUUUAUGUUGGAUAAGUGAGACUGUACUGUAUAUUUAUAAUCUUAUAUUAGCUGCUUAGUACUGGAUUAUAUGAGGCCCCUUCUACACAGCUGUAUAAAAUGCACACUGAAGUGAAUUAUAUGGCAGUGUGGAGUCAAGAUAAUCCAGUUCAAAGCAGAUAAUAUAAGAUUCUAAAUGGAUUAUAUCGCUGUGUGGAAGGGCCUUGGGUCUACACUGCCAUAUAAUCCAGUUAAAAUCAGAUAAUCUGUAUCUUAUAGGCAGUGUGGAAGAGGCCUAAGUGAAGCCUAACUCUUACUUUCACUUUUCACUUUCUUACUUUUCACUUUUUUAGCAUUUUUGAUUAAAUUACUUAAUAUAUGAAGAGCAACCAUUCCUUUUCCAUAUCCACAUAAAGGAAAUGAUUUGAUCCUUGUAUCUGCUUCGGUAUUGCCUUAUGUCUCUGGUUGAGAGUCCUUCUUUCAAUGCUUAAAAGUCCUCUCCUGAUUCAUUAUAGUUUAUGGAAGUAUCCAAAAUUACUUGUCUAUGCUUUGUAGCAAAGUUAUCUUCCCUGUCUUGAAUAACAUGGAAUAUACAUUAAACAAAGAAACAAAUGGAUCUCUUGAGAUACCACUCACACUAUCCAAUCUCAGUAUCAGUUUUGCAGGUGUAUAAGUUUCUUUUUAAUAAAUAGAAACCAAAACAUUAAAAUGACUUUGAACAAUUAAUCAACUUUAGAAAGGAAUGAUUAAAUUACCAGUAAAAUGGUCCUACCUCAUCCAGAGACACAAGGCAAUGCUGAAGCAGAUGCAAGGAUCCAAUUUGCAUUUUAUGCAACAAAGACACAUUGAUAUUGCUUCAUAUUUUGUUUUGUUAAUUAUAUUUAAUUAGUUCAAGUAAUACAAUUCUCCAUCACAGACCAAAUGGAACUUCAAAGUGAUCUACAGAACUCUCUUUUAAUUUCAAAUCAUAGGCUAUGAAGUGAUGACCGAAGCAGGUAUUUUCAUUAAUGAGAAUAUUGUAUGAGUAAAAUGGAAGUUUCAACAAUAUUUUUUAGCCAGGAGUGAUGAACUAAUUAACUUCCUACAAGCUGAACUUUUGUUUCUGGUUCAUCUGUGUAGAAAUAAUUUGAAUUACUAGAGAGAGAGAGAGAAAAUGAAACACCUUUAAAAUCUUUCCACAAUUCAUUUGAUUUUUUUUUCACAAACCACACAUCUUUUAGCUUCUGCUAUGGUCAUGACGAACAUAUCAAAAUUAUUGUUAGCUGUACGAUUAUUCCUUAAGGCCAAGUUCACUCUAUGAAAUGUGUCAGCACAAUGAAACUUUAAGGAUGGUGGCAGUGAUUCCUAGUAUUUCCUUUUGGACUAUAUUCAAAUAUGUGAUCAGGACACUAUGAAAAGGAACAGAAAGAACUCUGCAUUCUUAAUAAAAGUGGCAUUUUAAAAACCUCAUGAGAAGGAGACUCCACUGCAAUCUGAGGCAGCAUAUUCCUUUCAAAUAUUUAAACAUGGCUAUAAUGCCACCUCUUUUCUUCAAGCUAAGCAUACCCAGAUCUCUCAGCUGUUCCUUAUAGGGUUUGAUUUCCAAACCUUUGAUCAUCUUGGUUGCCCUUGUCUCGGCAUGUUCUAGCUUGUCAAUAUCUCUUCUUAAUUGCAGUGCCCAGAAGUGGACACAGCAUUCCAAGUGAGAUCUCACCAAAGCAGAAUAGAGUGGGACUAUGACUUCCCUUGAUUUCAACACUAUAUUCCUAUUGAUGCAGCCUAGAUUUGCAUUAGACUUUUUAGCUGCCGCAUCACACUGUUGGCUCAUGUUCGGUUUGUGGUCUACUAAGACUCCUAGAUCCUUUUCACAUGUAUUGUUUUCAAGCCAGCUGUUACCCAUUCUUUAGCUGUGCAUUUCAUUUUCAUUGCUUAAAUAUAGUAUCAUACAUUUCUCCUUGUUGAACCUCAUUUUGUUAGUUUUGGUCCAGCUCUCCAAUUUAUUAUGGUCAUUUUGAAUUCUGAUCUUGUCCUCUGGGCUAUUAGCUAUCCCUCUCAAAGAAGGCUAUAGACUUUGUAAGACUUCAUCUCCUAUCAUGCCAUAGCAUUGAGCCAUGGCAGUUAAAGUGGGGUCAGACUACAUUAAUUCUAUAUUGUAAAUGCACUUUAUGUCCCACUACAUUCCUCGGGUGUUUGGUAGGGAUAAAGCCUUCUUGGUCGCUGUACCCAAGCUGUUCCUAGGAAAAACAAGAUGGCUGCCUCCUUGUAGACCUUUCACCUGCUCAUUAAAACAUUUUAAAUCUGACAGCCUUUUAGGAAUUAUCUGCGAUAUUCUUUUAAUGGUCUGCUGCUCUGCUGAUUUUUGACUUCUCUCAUUCAGUGGAUUUUAACUGGUUUUAGGACUAUUUUAACAAUAUUUUAAAUCUGUUUUCCUGGAUUUGUAUUUGUUUUGAUCUUUCUAAUUCACCUUCAGUCCCUGUAGUAGGAAAGGGUAGGAUAUAAAUUAAAUCACCAUAAUCAGUAUUAUGUCUUUUUAAAGGGAUCUAAAUCUUUAAAGGAUCUAAAUGAGAGAGAUGUCUGACAUGGUCAGCAGUUCCUCUCACAGAAUGUGUUGAAUGAGGAAACCUGCCUUCUUAAGAAACAAAACACUUGUGUCCUUUUAGUACACAGUUAUCCUAUUUGGAACUAAGGUGAUUCCUCAUGUAGCUCCAGUCUUCUUCAAAAAGAGCCCUGGGACAUGCAAAGUAUCACUGCAAGAAGCUGGCGUGAUGAAGUGUAUUAUUUAUUAAUUUUGCCUGCAGCCCUCUUGUGUUAAGAGAUAGCAGCAUCAAAUGAAAUUGAAAGCCUGCUGCUGCUUGCUGGUAUCUCUGGACACAGACUCAUUUCAGGAUCAGAAAGGCUUCUACUAGAAUAAUUAUCAGCUCAAAUGGAUGCUAUAGACAAAUAACAUCUGCUAAUAACUGGAGUUGGAAAGUAUGUUUCAGAAUGACAAAAUACAAAUAAAUGUGUGAAAGAAUUUAUAAGAUGUUUUCUUUUUUAAAUUAUGUACUCUUUGGUUCAGUAUGCUGCUGCUGCUGCUCAGUCAUUUAAUUGUCUCCGACUCUUCGUGACCUCAUGGACCAGUCCAUGCCAGAGCUCCCUGUCGGCCGUCACCGCCCCCAGUUCCUUCAAGGUCAAGCCGGUCACUUCAAGGAUACUGUCCAUCCAUCUUGCCCUUGGUCGGCCUCUCUUCCUUUUUCCUUCCAUUUUCCCCAGCAUCGUGGUUCAGUAUAUGAGCAAAUAUAUGGGUCUUUUGAUUCCAGGGCUUAUUCAGUUGAAGUUACAGAUUUUUUUAAAUUAGCAGUGAUGCCAUCUGCAAGUCUCUCCAGACUUUUGUAUUCCCUUGCUCUGUCACAGUUAUGGAUUUCUCCAGAAAGAAUAUAUAAUUGUAAGCUAUCAUUGUUUUAUUGAAAAAUAUUUGGGAGUGGUUUGGUACUGAAUGAGUAAUUAAGAAGCACUAACACUACAAAAACUCACUCUCAGCGUAGGGGGAACUGCUGGAACUAAUAUUAUCAACACAGCUGCUUCCAUUUUUGCAUAGUCCUUGACUGUGUCAUGAACACUUUUUAAACAUUAAAAGGUUCUUUUAUUUCAUUUUUAGUGAGACAGAGUAUAUCAGGCACUUUACAGAGAAAGAAGGUAGACACACACAUAUUAUAUAGCUGCAUUGGUUACACAAACAAAGGAGAUAUUAUAUCUUACUCAAUAUUUACACACAUAAACACUCACUCUCCAUGAAUACAUUACCAUCCCUUCUUCUGUCUCCUGGAGAAGAGAAUUGAACAUGGGCCAGAUCGAGUUCCCUGCAAAUCUGUCAUUCUGCUGAUACACCAUUUUCUCCUUCCCUUGGGAAAGAGGUGAGUGUACAGACCCUGCUGUCUGCCACACUUUUGGAAAAUAAGAAUGUCUCUUAUAUAACAUUUCUGCUGUUUUUGAAGUUGUAAUUGACUGACAGGUUGUUUUGCAGCUAAAAUAGGCUGACUCCGUUGUUUCCCGGACAUAUGUUGGUUUCAUGUAAAAAACCAUUAUGUUUGACUUCAUUAACUUAAAAAAAUCAUUGUCUUUGGCUAUGUAAACAUAUUGUUUGAAACCAGGAGUUAAUCAUUGUUUCUGGUCAUGUCAGCAGUUCAACAGUUUAAUAAUUUUUCCUUCAUCAGUCUUUUGCAGUUUUCCAUAAUGCUAUUCUUCUUAGGAUGAUGUCUUCAGUCUUUGUUAGACUCCAGUCAUAUAUUUUCAUUCAUCAUAUUUAUCACAACUGAGUCCAGGGGACUGUAACAAUGAGUACUUGAGAACUUACCAUUACACCACUAUGUGAAACAAUGGUGGAAAAAUUGAGUAGUUAUGUUUGGUUAUGAAAUGUAAAAUUCAUGGCUACUAAAUAAGAAUGAAAUAUCAUAAUGAUGUUCCCUGGUUAUUGUUAAAUGAGGAAGAUGAUUUGUUUGGGAUGGUACCACUAACUUCAACAGUUGCCAAUGUGAUCCAUCAUGGAUUGUGAAUAUGUGGGCCAAAUGCACAACUUUGGAUAUCUUGUGUCAGUUGCUCACUCUCAGCCUAAUUAACUCUUCCUGAAGAGAUGAAAGGGCAGUUAUAGAAUGAAAGAGCACUAUAUGAUCCCUGUACCUGUGGUAUAUACAUCACUAAACUUACUGUGGAAACAGGAAACUGUGGAUAGUAGUGAACACCACUGAAAUGAAGAAUAUUCGAAGGAAUUUGCCAUAGAAUCACCAUCUCUAAUAAUUUCUGAGAUCCUCCAGCAUGACUAUAUGGUAGCCUCAAGUGGAAACAUACCAUAGAAUAAUUUGGAGGACCAAGAACAUUUCUAGAGUGGACAUAUUUUGUCAUAUACAGAUAGAUGAAACCAUGGGCAUGGGAGAGGUACUGUAUCUCCUGUGGUUUAAAGGCUGCUCCACUUACUUUUAAAAACUGUUUCAUUAAUGUAGCUAUUUGCCUUGUUUCUCAGAAAAUUUUCCUUUGUUCUCACAAUAAACCUUCACACGCCUUUUCAAUUAUGCUAAUUUUCUCAAAGGGGGUGUGGCUGCUCCACAACUGCCAUUCACUUUUUUUUGUGCUAUGUCUUAAUUAUUAAAUAAGCCUGGGGGCAGAAAACUUGUUUUGUUAUUCAUUUACUUGUAAACUGCCAUGUACUGCGAUGGCACUAUAUCAAUAAAUGAUGGCAAUAAUGAUAGAGGUGUGAUUAGUUAUGUUUGAUGACCCUUGAGAUUGUUGGAGUAUGGUUGUAUUUGUAUGAAAUGUAAAUCAAGUGUUUACUGCUAAUGAGCAAGAGUGUGUAUUUUUCAGUAAUGAAAUAGUUAACAGCAGGCUAGUUUUGACUGACAGCCUGUUGUGAUUGCUAUGACCUAUCAGGCUUGAUUUCCUGCCUUUGAGGGUUGGAACUUCCUCCGGACUGAGGAAUGUUGUUAUCUAAUCUCUGUGGAGUUCGGCUUGAGCAUUUGCUGAAGAUGGACUGUGAAUGCUAUGCUCUGAAGCCGAGAAAUGCAAACUGUAAAUAGACAUGUAAAUAAAGUUAAUCAACAGUU